rnacentral:rRNA from 1 species
UCAAGCUACAAAGAGCGUAUGGUGGAUGCCUUGGCAUUAGGCGCCGAUGAAGGACGUGACAAGCUGCGAUAAGCUGCGGUGAGUGGCAAAUACACUUUGACCCGCAGAUUUCCGAAUGAGGAAACUCACUAUGUUGAAGACAUAGUAUCUUUACACGAAUAAAAUAGUGUAUCGAGGGGAACCCGGAGAACUGAAACAUCUCAUUAUCCGGAGGAAAAGAAAGAAAAUAUUCGAUUUCCUGAGUAGUGGCGAGCGAAAGGGAAGGAGCCCAAACCGUUUGUAGAAAUAUAAACGGGGUUGAGAACUGCGUAACCGACCGAUUUUGAUAGUCGAAGCACUUGGAAAGGUGUGCCAUAGAGAGUGACAGCCUCGUAGGCGAAAUCAAAAUGGUCGCGGCAGAGUUCCAGAGUACCACAGGACACGUGGAAUCCGGUGGGAAUACAAGGAGGACCAUCUCCUAAGGCUAAAUACGACCUAAUGACCUAUAGAGUAUAGUACCGUGAGGGAAAGGUGAAAAGAACCCCGGGAGGGGAGUGAAAUAGAAUCUGAAACCAUAUGCUUACAAGCAGAGAUAGCACGACUUAACGUGUGGUCUCGUACUUUUUGUAGAACGGACCGGCGAGUUACGAUGCGUAGCAAGGUUAAGGUAUUAAGUACCGGAGCCGAAGCGAAAGCGAGUCUGAACAGGGCGUUCAGUUGCGCGUCGUAGACCCGAAACCGAGUGACCUAUCCAUGAACAGGUUGAAGCAGUGGUAAAACACUGUGGAGGACCGAACCCACGCCUGUUAAAAUAGUCGGGGAUGAUUUGUGGAUAGCGGAGAAAUUCUAAUCGAACUCGGAUAUAGCUGGUUCUCCUCGAAAUAGCUUUAGGGCUAGCCUCCGAAUUUAGAUUAUUGAAGGUAGAGCACUGUAUGGGCUAGGGGACUUCACGGUUUACCGAACCUUAACAAACUUCGAAUUUCAAUUAAUUAUGUCGGGGAGUCAGACUGCGUGAGAUAAGUUUCGUAGUCAAAAGGGAAACAGCCCAGACCUACAGCUAAGGUCCCCAAAUUCAGGUUAAGUGGAAAAGGAUGUAUCGUUGCUAAAACAACCAGGAUGUUGGCUUAGAAGCAGCCACUCAUUCAAAGAGUGCGUAAUAGCUCACUGGUCGAGUGAAUGUGCGCCGAAAAUAUACCGGGGCUAAACGUGAUACCGAAGUCUGGGGAUCAAGAAAUUGAUCGGUAGGGGAGCAACGCAUACGGACAGAAGCAGAAGCGGGAGCGACUGUGGACUGUAUGGGAGAGAGAAUGCCGGCAUGAGUAGCGAGAGCAAAGUGAGAAUCUUUGCCGUCGAAAGCCUAAGGUUUCCUGAGGAAGGCUCGUCCUCUCAGGGUAAGUCGGGACCUAAGCCGAGGACAAUAGUCGUAGGCGAUGGACAAUCGGUUAAUAUUCCGAUACCGCCGAGCAACCGGAUGCAGUGACACAGAAGGAUAGGCAGAGCGUGGCGAUGGUAGACCACGUCCAAGCAGUGAGGCUGUUGUGUAGUGAAGUACGCACAACGUAAGGCUGGGCUGUGAUGGGGAACGAUUACGAUCGGUAAGCUGCUGAAUUCACGCUGGCGAGAAAAGCUGCUACGAAGCGAAGGCGCCCGUACCGCAAACCGACACAGGUAGGCGAGGAGAGAAUCCUAAGACGAGCGGGAGAACCCUUGUUAAGGAACUCGGCAAAAUGACUCCGUAACUUAGGGAGAAGGAGUGCCUCGAGAGAGGCCGCAGAGAAUAGGCCCAAGCGACUGUUUACCAAAAACACAGGUCUGUGCGAAGUAGAGAUACGACGUAUACGGGCUGACACCUGCCCAGUGCCGGAAGGUUAAGGGGAAAUGUUAGGGCAACCGAAGCAUGGAACUUAAGCCCCGGUGAACGGCGGCCGUAACUAUAACGGUCCUAAGGUAGCGAAAUUCCUUGUCGGGUAAG